rnacentral:rRNA from 1 species
UACGUAGGGAGCAAGCGUUGUCCGGAAUCAUUGGGCGUAAAGCGCGCGUAGGUGGCUCUAUAAGUCCGUUGUGAAAGUCAAAGGCUCAACCUUUGAAAGCCGAUGGAUACUGUAGAGCUAGAGUCCGGAAGAGGAGACUGGAAUUCCUGGUGUAGCGGUGAAAUGCGCAGAUAUCAGGAGGAACACCGGUGGCGAAGGCGGGUCUCUGGGCCGAUACUGACGCUGAGGAGCGAAAGCGUGGGGAGCGAACAGG